rnacentral:rRNA from 1 species
AGAGUUUGAUCCUGGCUCAGAUUGAACGCUGGCGGCAGGCCUAACACAUGCAAGUCGAGCGGUAGAGAGAAGCUUGCUUCUCUUGAGAGCGGCGGACGGGUGAGUAAUGCCUAGGAAUCUGCCUGGUAGUGGGGGAUAACGUUCGGAAACGGACGCUAAUACCGCAUACGUCCUACGGGAGAAAGCAGGGGACCUUCGGGCCUUGCGCUAUCAGAUGAGCCUAGGUCGGAUUAGCUAGUUGGUGGGGUAAUGGCUCACCAAGGCGACGAUCCGUAACUGGUCUGAGAGGAUGAUCAGUCACACUGGAACUGAGACACGGUCCAGACUCCUACGGGAGGCAGCAGUGGGGAAUAUUGGACAAUGGGCGAAAGCCUGAUCCAGCCAUGCCGCGUGUGUGAAGAAGGUCUUCGGAUUGUAAAGCACUUUAAGUUGGGAGGAAGGGCAGUAAAUUAAUACUUUGCUGUUUGGCGUUCCGACAUAGUAAAGAGUAUAGUG